UCGUGUCUACCAUUGCCAGACACUGCACGUGGAGCAUGUGGCAGGGCAUCCAGGCCAUCACCAACUACAGGACAACAUCAGUUCCCUGUGACAAAGAUGCCUCCCUUCCAGAUGCGCUGAAUGACUUCUACGCUAGGUUUAAAGCACAGAAUGACAUAGAGUCAAACCACGGAAGGCUGAUGGACCAGACAACAUUCCAGGCAGAGUGCUCAGAGAAUGUGCAGACCAGCUGGCAGAUAUUGUCACCGACAUCUUCAACAUCUCUCUGAGCAGCGCCGUCGUUCCAACGUGCUUCAAGACCACCACCAUCAUCGUCCCCAUGUCAAAGAAGUCUUCAGUGUCCUGCCUCAACGAGUACCGCCCCGUCGCACUCACACCCAUCAUCAUGAAGUGCUUCGAGAGGCUCGUCAUGAGAGCUGAGCUGAUGGUGGUUCUGCAGACAGGGCUGAGUUAAGAGGUGCAGAGUUAAGCAUUGUCUUCUCGAACAAACAGAGUCUGAACAUUCACCUCAGACAGACAGAAGAACAGAUUGAUGAUCUUCAUCAUCAUCAUCAUCAUCAUGUACAGGCACACAUAGAGCAUCAGCACUGUAUCAUCACAGUCAACUGCAGAUCAAACUCAUCCAUCACCUCCUCUGAUAUCUGAAGCAUGUAGGUGAUCAAUGAACAUUGAGCAGGAGAGAGUUUCUCCUCUGAGUGUUUGUCUGAUUUCACAAACUCCUGAAUCUCUCUGGACAGAGUCUGAUCGUUCAUCUCCAGCAGACACAGGAACAGAUUGAUGGAUCUGUCAGCUGAGAGACGUUCAUCACUCUUGAUUUUAUCUUUAAUGUACUGUGUGAUUUCUCUGAUGUUCUCUGAACUGUUCUCUGUGUGUGUCAGUAGAUCCUGUAAGAGUCUCUGAUUGGACUCCAGUGAGAUGCCCAGCAGGAAUCGCAGGAAAAGAUCC